GAAACUUGUGGCGCGAAUCGCGUGCGGAAGAAGCAGACGUCAUCAACACACGGAUCCGGAGGAUUAACGGUCCUGAGAAUUUCCCUGGGAAUAAAUCCUGGUUAAAGGCUGAGAUGAACGGAACAAAACAUCAAAAGACCGCCAAAUCCUUUUGAAGAUCCAUGGAAGGAGGCUUACAGUAGUCUGUCGGCUGUGUGAACUCCCUCCUGGCCGUCCUGAGAGCUUUCAGACAGCGUUUUCACCAGGAAAGGAUAAAGAUAAAGACAGCCACACGUUACCCUCCAGAAGAGUUUUUUGAUGGCGGGGUUUCGGUUCGUGGCUGUGUGCAGCUCCUGAAGGAGUAAAUACAGACUCUCUAGGCUGAUGUUGUCCUGCAGCAGCUCUCCGCUUAACUGAC